GGUGAAAAGAGCAUGUGUUUAUUGGUCCUGCAUGGAAGGGGCUGAAAUGAAUCGAGUUUGGUAACAACAGACCUUGUAACAUCCCUAAUAUAUAUUUUCCAGGGGGUGUUAUGGUCUGAUGUUCAGUGAGGCACGGAGAGCAGACUCAUCUCAAUCUACAAGGUGUCAGAUAUGGCAGGAAGGGAUAGUGUGGGGCUGCAGACCCCUUCAUCUGCCUUUCUCCUUGAGAGCUGGAUUUGCCAAGACUAUCUGCUGUGGACAUUUUGAGAGCGCCUAAAAAUUCAAUUUCCACAAUGAUGAAGAGUGCAAAAGAAUGCGGAAAAUGAGAGCAAUGUAUUCAAAUUGAUGGUGUUGCAAUGGCAGUGUGACUCCAGAAGCCUCUGCUCCCUUACCUCAUGUCAGCCCAUGUGAGGCAGCACCAAGGAGUGGUUUGGCCAUCUGAGGAUGUGCAGAGUGCCCAGAGAGGCGUGUUAGACAAGAUGAUGAUGGUGAGGCCUUCCAGAUGAAGCUGGAUCCCAGCAGAUAAGUGUUCACAGGGCUAUUUUCAAAGUCCUUCACCCUGCCUUGUUGCUUGUUUUAACCCCUGACAAAGGGCCAUGGCACUGCCCAGCGGGUUCUCAUUUGUGCACUGGCUUUCAGAGAGUUUAAUGAUCAGCAGGUGAUGGUUCUAUCUGGGCUGGGGAGGUGCUGCCUUGGACUGUGACGUUCCAGCUGGGCUGCAUCCGCUGAUUAUGAUGAUUAUUUUCAGCAGCUUUAUUGCAUUGGUGAUAAACUGAGACAUUCUUCUUAUAAACAACAAGAAACUUUGAACCUUUGAAACACUCCCUGAACUGUGGAGAACUUGUUAAGCUGGAUAGCCCUCAGUGAGGAAGCAAAGUGCAAAGUGCUGCCAGCCUUGUGUUACUCACAGGUCCUUGCAGGUGGCCUCAGAGAAUCUUCCUGGUUCACCAAUGACCAGUGAGGGGUGCUCUGAAGCCCUAUCCAAAUACCGUGUGAAAGUAAUUUGUCUUGGACAUGGGAGGUUUGCUUGCAAACAACUGCACUUCUUUUCCUGCAGAGCUCAACUGCAAGUUUGCUCCUUGUAACCAGACAAAGUCACUGGCUAGUCAAUGUCUGCCUUGAACAGAUUAGUUUGAAUUCCUGUGUAUGUAGUAGUUUAAGCUCAGGUAUUGGUUUCGCUAUAUUUCUGUUUGUGUUAGGAAUGAAUUGAUUUUUUUUAUUAUUUUUUUUUACUGGGCUAGCAUUUUAAAAGACCAAAAACUCUCCCUUGCUGCCAAACCAGGAUGGUCAUUAAAGGAUUUUAAUAUUCUUUCCUUUUAUUGCCAGAACUACUCUUGGGAUAAACUGACUAUGUGAAAAGUAAUUCCUUUAUGCCCUUCACUCUGCGCUUCAAGAAAUGGAAGGAUCCACAUGGAUCAAUAGGACUUGGACACCCAAAAGAAAGAAAAACUUUUCUUUAGCACGAUCUUAUUCUGAAGGAAAACUGUCUUGUCUUAUCCAGUGUGUUUUCAGGUGCUGCAUUCUGUAGUCUUCAUGAGGAAGUGAUCCAAGUGCUCCCCCAAGCCCACAAUAACACACUUUGACUGACAUGGAUCGUUUUUCUGAGGCUCACAACCUCUGAUUCCUGCACAUUCCUAUUGGGUCUCAGAAGAGCUUGAGGUCCUGGCAAGUAAUGCAAGUCACGGAGUGUGGAAGACAUUCCCAGGAGGUGCUGUCCCAGAGGUGCCAGUUCUAUCAGGUCUCUUCCCAUCAGUGAAGGGCAGGAACAAAGCCUGGCAAUGAAAGGCAAUUUCUCCUAACCCAGUGGGCGAGCGCAGUGUGCCAUCACUUCAUUCCAUGGAGAGGUGCCACAGAAUGCUCUCUACUCACUCUACAGAGAGGAGUGAUCCCCUCUGAGCCUUCUUUUUAAUUCUUUGGGAAUAGACAAAACAGAAAAGAACUGACAGAAGCAGCAUGAACAAUAAGCUGUGUUUUCCAGAAUCGAUAGUGAAAACCAGGAAAUUUUUGGCUGAAGAAGAAGAAGAAGAAGAAGAAGAAGAAGAAGAAGAAGAAGAAGAAGAAGAAGAAGAAGAAGGAAGAGAAGGAGGAGGUUUUGAAGAGGGUUUUGUCUGGAGUCUUUAGGAGGUGGAAGACAGAAUUGAAGAUCAGCUUGAGGGAUGCUGUGUCCAGUGGUUAAAUCCAUCAUCUUCCAUCAUGGAAUCAUGCAUCAUAAAAUGGUUUGGUUUGGUUUGGUUUGGUUUGGGCUGGGAGGCACCUUACAGGUCAUCUUGUUCCAGGUGAAAAUUUAGGAUUAUCUCUGAGCAAAUGAAUUGUUUGUGGAGCACCAAAUAAAACCAAUGUCCCAAAUGUCCUCCUUGCUUUCCCACAUUGCAGUUCCAGGUUAUGCUGCUUUUUUUGGUAGCAAAAAUGGUGUAAGAAAUCCUGACUCUCUGUUGAUUCACAUGUCUCAGAUUGCCUCUCCUUUCUUCUGUCAGGGGUAAAACCACUCCUACCCAUUCCCCAAAAAACCAGGCACAGGUUGGCAAGGCUUGCUGCAACUGGCUCCUCUACCAGAGGCAGCACAGCCCAGACCUGCCAGCUCCUCACCUCACAUUGCCCAAGUGCCAGACUUCCCAUUUCACCCAAAAAUGCACCUGAAAAGGUUUGAAGUUUGCCUGCUGCUGCCUGACUGCAGCACUGGAUUAACAAGUGACGGGAGCACGUGGAACCAAGUUCAAGAGUUGGCAGAUUCAUUUGCAUAUGAGAGGCCAAAAUAAGCAAAUAAAAACUGCCACACAAAACGAACCAGAAUUGGAAUUGGCUAAACACUUCCCCGUGAAAUGGAUUUUCGAAGUGACUCUUGAACUCUUCAGUGGAAAGACAGAUUCAUUUUCAAUGGAGUUUGAUCUUGCUCUUCAGCUUCAUUUGUAAGACCAAUUACAGAGCAUUUUGUACAACAAUUACGGGCAUUAAAACCACUCUGUUCCAUUUGAUGAAUUUUAAUAGUAAUUGAACAGAAGAAGCCAUCAACUGAAAGAUUGUCCAAUCAAGUAUGCCCACAUACUGAACUGUAAUUUCCACUCCACAAAUGUGUAAUGCCAUUUGAAACUACCAAAAUGUCCUCUCCCCACCAACACCCAAGCAGAUUGGAGGAUUUGUUCCAAAACAACUUUAUUCCCUGAGGCUCCAAGUACACAGAAAACACACUGACCACAGUCCUGUGAUAAUUCCUGUGUGCAACUUUGUCCUGCAAAGCUCCCUGGAGCUCAUUCUUGGACAGGCAUUUGCAGAGGGCUGAUGACCAUAAAUGUUUGUGGGUAGCACCCUACAAGUCACUGUACAAAGUCCCCUCUUUGUGAAGAAAGACAUUUUUGGAGUACGUGCUCCGAGGAACUUUGUAAGAUAUUGAAAGAGCUGGGUGGCUUCUUCGUGUGAGUGCAGGGAAUGGAAUCCAUCCCCUGGACACUGGUCUGGUAUUUACAUUUGAGUUGGGUUCAGCUUCUUCCCUUGAAAAGAAUGUGCAGAAUGGUGGGCUGAAGAAAUAUAGUCCUGAAACAGAUAAUUUGGUUACAAGGAGAGGCCCCUCACAGCCACUAAAGAAUAGAUAUUUGGGCUAGAAGAGUCCAGAUGGUUUCCACAAGACCCAAACAGACUUUGACUUAUGUUACAAGCCCAAAAGCCACAAAAGCAAUGCAGUAUGGCAGAGCAGAGGAGAUCAAAGGCCUCACCAGUGUCCUGGGUCUCAGAAGAAUGCUAAUGCAUUUCUUAUUCUUUGUUGUGAACAUUUUGUUGUUAUUUUUUUCCUACUAAACCUGCCCUUUCUGUCUGAGGUUGGCCUGUGCUGUACUGAAAAUUCCUUGAGGGAAGUUGUGUUCUUCGUUGGAUUUGCUGUAAAUUAGAAGAACAAAAGAACUAUUUUGAUGAACUUGCUCUCAAUGGGAUUUCCAGGCUCGCUUGGGAAACAAAAAGAGAUUUUGAUAGUUUAGAUCAGUGGGAGAUAAGUGUCCAACUGUCAGAGCCUUCCUUUGAAGUGGGUUUUCCCUUGCCAGUGCUCACUACAACUGUAAGUUCAAUUUAAAGACAAAAGAUGAAGUCUUGGCCUUUCUGAAGUCAGUAAGAGUUUUAUCACUGACAACUCAGAGGCCAGGAUUUCACCCAAGAUGUUUGUACAGGCACUAACUUUAGCAUCUUGUUGAGAGCCACAUGAAAUAUUUAUGUUGAAGAGUGAAACUGUAUUGUUUUCUUGCAUCUCAUUCUGGACACAAAAAUGACCCCGUCUCACUGGAAAAUCACCACUCUUUUAUGAAAAUCAUACAAUUUCAGUUGUGAGAUGCCUUAUCCUGGUGUGGUCCAACUGAGGGUUGCAAUGUGUGAUUUUAAAAGGAGUUAAAAGCAGUAUGUCUUCGUGCAAUAGAUCUGACUUUUUUUCUUGCUAGUUUUCAUUUUGGUUUAGAACAGUUUAAUAAUGAAGUUUUCAUGUGAAUGGGAAGAUCUGUUUUCCCCCCAACUAAAAUUUCCAUCCAUGAGUUCACAUGUUUAAAAAAUAUUUGUCAAAUCCUGCCUUUAAAAGCCCAGAACACAGCUUUUCCUGGAAGUGCUGGAGGUUCCAUACUUCUGUAAGUGGUGCCAGUCAAUCAGUCAGUGGGUGCAAAGUUUUACAGAAAAAGCUCAGCUUUUUACUUUACUAAAUGAACUGCAGAAAACCUCUGCCUAGUAACAAACCUAUCCAAGCUUCUGAAAUGCAGACAAACACAAACCUGGCAUAAAUAAUUUUUUUUCAGAACUUCUUCCCUCUUUUCCCCCAGAUAGAGACAAGAUCCAAACAAGUGAAAUCUGGGAAAAAUAGAAAGGGAAUGGGGACAGAUAAAUGCUGAGGUACUCACAGGGAUCCUUUUGAAAAUAAAGGCCAAAAAAAAAGUGCAAAUUAAAGGCCAGAGAAUUUUUCCCUGCUUGUCUCUUAGUCCCCUCCCCCUUUCAAACAUUGCGUCUUAUUUCUUUCAUUUUAUAUAUUUUAGUGUUUCAGUCGCUGGCUCCUGCAUUGAGUUUUUUCACCCUUCACACACCAUCACAUACUGCCUGCCUUUCUUUGACCACACUCUGUGUUGUAAUAAUAAUAAUAAAAAACUGGGCCUGAUUUUAA